AAUGAUAGUAAAUCAAGUCCUGGGUCAGAAAGCAAACAGUACACCAGAAGGAAAAGUUUAUUUCAGCAGGGGAAUCUCUUCUUAGAUAAGACUAUUCAUGUAAGUCAAUGCAACUUCUACUCAAACAAAAUUAUGUGAGGACACUUCUUUGCCUAAGAAAAUAAGCUAUCUUCAUUAAUAACCAAAAAAAUGAUUUUCCAUAUUAGACUGACCUCAGCACCUCUCACAUAUUAUACUCUAUAUUAAUGUGUCUUUGGAGAUCUCUUGUAUUUCUUUAAAUUUUCUCUAUGAGACCAGAAAACCAGCCUAUAGUAUGUCACUCAGCAUGUCAUCUGUAAAAGUAAUAAAUUAAAGAAAAAAGUGGCAGAGAUCAUCCAAAAGCACUGUAUAAAAUAUGUGUGCGUAUGUAUAUCUGCAUAUGUACGCAUGCAUAAUUCCAAAUUUAGUUUCAGAGAUGAUGCAAGCCCAUAUUUUCACUUUUUUUUAAAGAACUACAAAGUGUCCUCUCUGCCUAUGGCAGGUUUCUUGUGUUUGCCUGUCCAGCAUCUCUGCUCCCGUCUUAUGGUAACCAUACCUCAUGCCUCUUACAGAGAGCGACCCCUCUGCAGUCUGUGUGAGCCUGGUAGACCAUUUAAUCACCAUGCUAUCUUUCAAAGGGUAACCUAAUUCAAGAUGACCUAAUUGGAAUUUCACUCCUAAGAAUCUGAAUCUAGAGAAAGGCCAUACACCAUGGUGACAUUUGGAACCCAACCAUUCCAGUGUUCCAGAAAUGGAUUUCAGCUGAGAGCCCUUGAGCUAUCCUUGUUCCUGACCUCUUAAAGCUUGGCUGUUUAGCUUUUUCUUCAAAUUAUAAGCAGAGAGAGAAUUCACUCACAGGAAUACAAAGAAUCCUGGGAGUUACCAAGAGACACAAAAGUUGGAAAAACUAGCACUUGCCUAGAAGAAGUCAAGCUAUCCAAGAAACCAAAGAGGAAUACUCUGGACUGGAAAAAAAAUUGAUAUUAAGAAAGCAUAUUGACCACCAUCACCUAAUAAAACAGAUA